AACUCCUUAAUGAAGUAGUAUAAAAAUUUGUGCUACUAAAACUGUUAUCUAUUUAAUUGACAAUUGUGUUAUAAAUUAUGUAUACAUCUAUUGAUGAUUGCCCCUCCCCCUAUUUAAAGGUUCUUGAUAUCAAUUUAGUAUAAAAGUACAAUAAUUUUGCAAAGACAACAUACUACAGAAAAAACUUACUAACAAAAUGGUGUCGAAGGCCAGUAUAGCGUGUGUCCUUUUCAUCGUUUGCUUCGUCACAACAGUCCAUAUGUUGCCAGCGGGAUCCGAGUGCCGCAAUAAAAACGCAAUGCCCAUGAAAACCAACAAUGCAAACGAGCUUCUGUCAGAUGUCAAUGUUGAAGUUAUAAGUUUAAAGGAUAUCUUAGGUUGCGCUGAUAUUCUCACUUCUUAAUUGAAUGAAUAAAUGACUUCCUUAAAUCAC